UACGAAGGGGGCUAGCGUUGUUCGGAUUUACUGGGCGUAAAGCGCACGUAGGCGGAUCGUUAAGUCGGGGGUGAAAUCCUGGAGCUCAACUCCAGAACUGCCUUCGAUACUGGCGAUCUUGAGUCCGGAAGAGGUGAGUGGAACUCCUAGUGUAGAGGUGGAAUUCGUAGAUAUUAGGAAGAACACCAGUGGCGAAGGGCGGCUCACUG
rnacentral:rRNA from 1 species